rnacentral:rRNA from 1 species
CUACGUGCCAGCAGCCGCGGUAAUACGUAGGUGGCAAGCGUUGUCCGGAUUUAUUGGGCGUAAAGCGAGCGCAGGCGGAAUGAUAAGUCUGAUGUGAAAGCCCACGGCUCAACCGUGGAACUGCAUCGGAAACUGUCAUUCUUGAGUGCAGAAGAGGAGAGUGGAACUCCAUGUGUAGCGGUGGAAUGCGUAGAUAUAUGGAAGAACACCAGUGGCGAAGGCGGCUCUCUGGUCUGCAACUGACGCUGAGGCUCGAAAGCAUGGGUAGCGAACAGGAUUAGAUACCCUGGUAGUCCAUGCCGUAAACGAUGAGCGCUAGGUGUUGGGGACUUUCCGGUCCUCAGUGCCGCAGCAAACGCAUUAAGCGCUCCGCCUGGGGAGUACGACCGCAAGGUUGAAACUCAAAGGAAUUGACGGGGGCCCGCACAAGCGGUGGAGCAUGUGGUUUAAUUCGAAGCAACGCGAAGAACCUUACCAGGUCUUGACAUCCUGAGACCGUUAUAGAGAUA